rnacentral:lncRNA from 1 species
GUCCUAUUAAAUAGCAAAUGUAAAAAGCAAUUUAAGUUGUAGUCGUAUUGAUCCGUUUUAUUACUAGACUAUAUUGAUAAAAUUAAUUAAAAAUCAAGGUUGGGGCGCACUGGGGAAAUUUUUUUUCUCUUAAAUCCCACAGAAUUCUUUCUCUGCCUGUUCUCCCGGUUUUUUUGGGAGUAAGAAAAUUUGGUGUUUUUUGGGGUUUUUUUUUGCUUUUUUUUUUAUGAAAAUUUAGGGCUCUUUUACUUGAAAUGAGGGUAAUUUUUUGGGGGUCAAAUUUUUUUUUUUUUGGGGGGGGGCGCUGGAGUCGUUCAAGUACUAUACUACUCCCCUUAGGGGAAAAAAUAAGUUUUAUAAAAAACCCCAGGAUUAAGGUUUUGGUGUGCUCUUUACAAAAAAAAAUUUUUUUUUUUUUUAUGGGGGGUAUAAAUACAAAGUGUGUUUUUUUUCUUCUUAAUUUUGAAGUUAAAAAUCACACAAAAAUGUUGGUAAAAUUUUUAUUUUGGAUGUAAAAAGGGUUUUUUUUCUUUAAAAUGGGGGGUCAAAAAUUGAAGAUAAUUUUUUUUUUUU